ensembl:snoRNA
CGGUCGGUGAUGACGUGACCACUGCGCAAUCUGAGUUUUGGAAACCAGAUGAUGGAGUGUGAGCUAAGCACGGACUGAGGCCG